GUUUCCUGUAACUGCAACAAGAUUGCAUAUGUGGUUAAAUGUAGGUGGAGCGGUUCUGUUCUGAAUACUAGGAUGUGUCUGUUUAAACAGGAUGUCAAAGUGAAAUCAGUCAGUUAGAUCAGCUUUGUGGCUCAGAGUUCUCCCACAGAUUAACUUGUUACAUUCUAUUAUUUUUUAUUGUUUACUUUUUUAACUGCUCAUGUUGAAUAAACAUUAAGGGGUAGGUUCAUCAUAAUGUCCUGAUACAUGCUCAAUCAGCCAGGUAAGGAAAUCCAAAAAAGUUGACUUUAGUCGUCAGUGGCCUGAAGAAGUCACUUGGAUGAGUGAUGAUAUUUUUUUCCAGAUGAAAACUCUACGUCCACAUGAACAGAAUCAACUUUCUGGGACUUUAUCAGGUUUUUCUUGACCUACAGAAAGAGCAGAUGGAUUAUACCAACCUCACACUUUUUAUCUUUGUAUGGAUUUGUUUUUUCCAUCCUGAUGAUCAGAAGAGAGUUUGAGGAUUUAACAGAUCGCCAUACAACAACAACCAGAAAAACAUCACAGCUGAGUCUGGACAGGACGUCACUUUGACAUGUCGAGCUCCAAACAACAACAUCAUAGUUGUAGAGUGGAGCAGGUGUGACCAAAAGGGACAGUACGUUUUGCUGUACCGGGAUGAUCAGUUUGUUCCAGAUGACCAGCAUCCAUCUUUUAAGAACCGGGUGGAUCUCCAGGACAGACAGAUGAAGGAUGGAGACGUGUCUCUGAUUCUGAAGAAUGUGAGGAUUAAUGAUGCUGGAAAAUAUGAGUGCCGUGUCGUCCACAGACGAACAAACCGCAGGAAGAGAGCUCAUCUGAAGACUGACCCCAUCACCAGCAUCACCCUGAGAGUUGUUCCUCCAGGUCAGACAGGAGGAGACACAGAGGAUGGAUCUGUUGGACUGAUCGUUGGCCUGACAGUUCCUGCUCUUCUUCUUUUUACUGGUGUUGUUGGUUUCUUGAUCUACAGAAAACAUAAAGAACAACAGAGUCAGGAUUCAUACCAGCCUCCUGUUGAACUUCAGCCUGUUUGAAAUGUCAGCUUAACUGUGAUUCUUGUGCUUUGCUUUCAG